rnacentral:tRNA from 1 species
GCGGGUGUAGUUUAACGGUAGAACGGGGCUCUCCAAAAGCUCUGGCGAGGGUUCGACUCCUUCCACCCGUG